rnacentral:rRNA from 1 species
GAGCUUGAGAAUUGGCUACUACAUCUAAGGAAGGCAGCAGGCGCGCAAUUACCCAAUCCCGAUUCGGGGAGGUAGUGACAAAAAAUAACAAUACCGGGCCUUUUUGGGCUUGGUAAUUGGAAUGAGGGAGAGUUAAACGGACCAUCGAGUAUCCAUUGGAGGGCAAGUCUGGUGCCAGCAGCUGCGGUAAUACCAGCUCCAAUAGCGUAUAUUAAAGUUGUUGCAGUUAAAAAGCUCGUAGUUGGACUUGUGUGCGCUGUCCGCGGGUGGCCUGCGCCCAAAAGGGCGUUUCGGUUCGGCCCCGGUGGCGCCUUGAAAUCUGCAGCUGGGGGGACGUUGGCCUUAACUGGUCGGCGACCGCACGCCGGCUGCUCGGUUACUGUGAGAAAAUUAGAGUGUUCAAGGCAGGCAUUGGGUGCAAUUGAAUACAUUAGCAUGGAAUAAUAAAAUAUGGCUCCUGCCGUAUUUUGUUGGUUUUGACUGGUGGGAGUAAUGAUUGAUAGGGACGGUUGGGGGUGCUAGUAUUGAGCGGCCAGAGGUGAAAUUCAUGGAUUCGCUCAAGACUAACUUAUGCGAAAGCAUUCACCAAGGACGUCCUCUUUAAUCAAGAACGAAAGUUGGGGGAUCGAAGACGAUCAGAUACCGUCGUAGUCUCAACCAUAAACUAUGUCGACUUGGGAUCGGCGGUAGUUUUUUCAUUAAGACACUGUCGGGACCACGGGAGAAAUCAAAGUGUCUGGACUCUGGGGGAAGUAUGGUCGCAAGGCUGAAACUUGAAGGAAUUGACGGAAGGGCACCACCAGGAGUGGAGCCUGCGGCUUAAUUUGACCCAACACGGGGAAACUUACCAGGUCCAGAGAUGUAGAGGAUUGACAGAUUGCAGCUCUUUCUUGAUCACUUCGGUGGUGGUGCAUGGCCGUUCUUAGUUGGUGGAGUGAUUUGUCUGGUUAAUUCCGUUAACGAACGAGACCUCAGCCUGCUAGUGUAGUCGGCUGGAUUGCCUUUGGCGAUCCGUGAUUUCGACUUCUUAGAGGGACAAUCGACGCGCAGUCGAUGGAAGUUUGAGGCAAUAACAGGUCUGUGAUGCCCUUAGAUGUUCUGGGCCGCACGCGCGCUACACUGCUGGGCUCAGCGAGUUUUACUUGGCCGAGAGGCCCGGUUAAUCUUGUGAAAUCCCAGCGUGCUUGGGCUCGCCUCCUGCAACUGGAGGCGCCAACGAGGAAUUCCUAGCGCAGGUCAUCAACCUGCAUCGAUUACGUCCCUGCCCUUUGUACACACCGCCCGUCGUUCCAUAAGAGUGAGGCAUCCGGUGAAUUCUCGGGAGAGCCUGGGCGUGGCCAGCAAUGGUCUGCUCGGGUUUGAACUUGCAUAAACUUGGUGCCUAUGAUUAGGGAAAAGUCGUAACAAGGUU